rnacentral:rRNA from 1 species
AACGUAGGAGACAAACGUUAUCCGGAGUUACUGGGCGUAAAGGGCGUGCAGGCGGUUGAUUAAGUCUAGCGUGAAAGCUCCCGGCUAAACCGGGAGAGGUCGUUGGAUACUGGUUGACUAGAGGACGGUAGAGGCGAGUGGAAUUCCGGGUGUAGUGGUGAAAUGCGUAGAGAUCCGGAGGAACACCAGUGGCGAAGGCGACUCGCUGGGCCGUACCUGACGCUAAGACGCGACAGCAUGGGGAGCGAAC